rnacentral:sRNA from 1 species
ACCUUCAACGAUUGAUAAAUGCGGAUGUCCUAUGUCUGAAAGUUUACGAUUAUUCUUAUUUCUAGUUAAUGCACUUACAUACCAU